UGACUACUCACAUGCCCCAAUUCAUGCUCAAUUAUAAUUUCCAUGGAAGUUUUUACUUACAAGGAUCUUAGCAAUUUUUUUGUGAAUUUCUUCAAAAUGAGAAUUUCAUUGCUUCUCUUGUAUUUUGAAGGAGAGGUUGCUGAUCUUAUUUUCUUCACUCCACGAGGUAAAUCCGGUGCCACCAUGGCAUUAAAGAGACUCCCAUUAAGUAGAAGAACCACCAUGCUACUUAAAUUUACCAAAUUUGGAAGAAAAAUCCAAAAUUACCAUUGCUAACUUCCUUGAAUCUU
rnacentral:lncRNA from 1 species